rnacentral:rRNA from 1 species
AACGAACGCUGGCGGCGUGCCUAACACAUGCAAGUCGUGCGAGAAAGUUCCUUCAGGAGCGAGUAAAGCGGCGCACGGGUGAGUAACACGUAGGUAACCUGCCCCCCAGUCUGGAACAACUAGAGGAAACUCUAGCUAAUGCCGGAUGAGACCACGAUCCCUUCGGGGAUUGCGGCCAAAGAUGGCCUCUACUUGUAAGCUAUCGCUGAGGGAUGGGCCUGCGGGCCAUUAGCUUGUUGGUGAGGUAACGGCUCACCAAGGCUGUGAUGGCUAGCUGGUCUGAGAGGAUGACCAGCCACACUGGGACUGAGACACGGCCCAGACUCCUACGGGAGGCAGCAGUGGGGAAUAUUGCGCAAUGGGCGAAAGCCUGACGCAGCGACGCCGCGUGGGUGAUGAAAGCCUUCGGGUCGUAAAGCCCUGUCGCAGGGGAAGAAUAAGCAUCGGUAUAAUACGCCGGUGCCCUGACGGUACCCUGCAAGAAAGCACCGGCUAACUCCGUG